ensembl:lncRNA
GGUCAUCACUGCAGAAACAGGAAUCAGCAGAGGGAUCCAACAGUACGGGUCAGCAAGGCCCCUGCAGAAGAUGUGCAGAGAAGUUCAUUUGUGAUUGAAGCCUUCCAAUUAACCAGAAGAUUGUGCCAGGACACGGGCAGUGAGAAAGCCAGAGGUGCCAAUAGUUUUAGCAGUAUGUGAUGAACACUGCAGGGCACUACCUGGGCUGGCGUGUUCUUGCACCGCCUCAGCAUGACCCAUAGUUCCCAACUCUUAAUUGAGUCGGUGAUAAGUUUUCUCUCAUUUUGCCACUGAAGGCCAACUAGGACAUAGUCAAUUCAACCUACUGUGGUGUGGGAGUCACAGACUCCAUAAGCCCACGAUUAUCUCCAUCUACUCCUGAAAUGAUCAUCAUACUUACACAUGAGGGGGAAGCAGAUUCAACUGUACUCUUCAUUUGGAAAUGGCUGCCACAUGGAAAACAGCUCCUGUGUAUCUGCGGCUCAAGAUGUUCGGAAGAAUUGACCUUUCCUUUUGAGGAGGACUGCCACUGGCCACACUCCUCUGGAGAAGGCCCAUCAGGAAUGAAAGGCUCUUGGAAAUCACAUUUGAAAAGGUCAGGGCGCACCCAGAAUGAACUGGACCUGCUAGUCUGACAAACAACAUGCUAUUUCUUAUACCUCCAUCUCGUCUGACAGGGAAAAAGAAACAGCAAGCUCUGUUGAAACCGGAGUGUGUAAAAAUACUUCAAUGCACAGUGUCUCUGCAUUUUUUCCCCCCUUUAGCUUAUCAAGGUUUGCACACUUCAGCUUGCAUGCUGAUGUAUUUCAGACCUUAUCCUGAGAUAGUUUGAAUGAUAUUUCUGACUAAAUCUAAAAAAUAAAAAAAAUAAAAACACACA